UACGUAGGGUGCAAGCGUUGUCCGGAAUUAUUGGGCGUAAAGGGCUCGUAGGCGGCUUGUCACGUCGGGUGUGAAAGCCCGGGGCUUAACCCCGGGUCUGCAUUCGAUACGGGCUAGCUAGAGUGUGGUAGGGGAGAUCGGAAUUCCUGGUGUAGCGGUGAAAUGCGCAGAUAUCAGGAGGAACACCGGUGGCGAAGGCGGCGAUCUGGACGAUGACUGACGCUGAGACGCGAAAGCGUGGGGAGCAAACAGG
rnacentral:rRNA from 1 species